AAAUAUUAUCGAAAAUUAUUUUUUAAUUUUAUUUUUUUUUGUCUUUGUUUAGUCGUAAUUCUUUUUUAAAAAUAUUAUUUUUAUAAGUUCGAGAAAAAUGAUGUUUUUAGUUUCGAGUUUCCGUUUUCUAUUUAUUUUCGGCCGAAAACAAAAACUCAAGCUGCUAUAAAUUUUUUCGUUCAUUUUUUCACACAAAAUUAAAUAAAUAUUUUUUUUUUCUUUCAACCAAACAAAUAUUGGUUUUCUAUAAACCAAACAUUACGAAACCUAAACUUUUUUUUUCCACCAAAUAUUUUUUCAUGAAAAAUUAUUUUUCACCCUUUUACAUACACCAAACACUUCCUAAGCAUACAAUAUGAAUUUCCUUUUCCCCAUUAUAAUUUUUAAUUUAAAGGUUAAAAUACUAAUUAUACAAUUUUUAAAACUUU
rnacentral:lncRNA from 1 species